AUUGAACGCUGGCGGCAUGCCUAACACAUGCAAGUCGAGCGAGCGGCGGACGGGUGAGUAAUGUCUGGGAAACUUCCUGCUUGAUGGGGAUCACUACUUGAAACGGUAUCUAAUACCGCCUUCCAUGGGAUGUGCCCAGAUGGGAUUAGCUGGUGGGUGGGGUAACGGCCCACCUAGGCUACGAGCCCUAGCUGGUCUGAGAGGAUGACCAGCAACACUGGAACGGGGAUAAGGUCCAGACUCCUAAGGGAGGCAGCAGUGGGGAAUAUUGCACAAGGGGCGCAAGCGGGAUGCAGCCAUGCCGCGUGAGUGAAGAAGGCCUUCGGGUUGUAAAGCAUUAUCAGCGGGGAGGCGUUACCUGCCGAAGAAGCACCGGCUAACUCCGUGCCAGCAGCCGCGGUAAUAC
rnacentral:rRNA from 1 species